rnacentral:rRNA from 1 species
GACGAACGCUGGCGGCGUGCUUAACACAUGCAAGUCGAACGGAAAGGCCCUGCUUUUGUGGGGUGCUCGAGUGGCGAACGGGUGAGUAACACGUGAGUAACCUGCCCUUGACUUUGGGAUAACUUCAGGAAACUGGGGCUAAUACCGGAUAGGAGCUCCUGCUGCAUGGUGGGGGUUGGAAAGUUUCGGCGGUUGGGGAUGGACUCGCGGCUUAUCAGCUUGUUGGUGGGGUAGUGGCUUACCAAGGCUUUGACGGGUAGCCGGCCUGAGAGGGCGACCGGCCACAUUGGGACUGAGAUACGGCCCAGACUCCUACGGGAGGCAGCAGUGGGGAAUAUUGCACAAUGGGCGGAAGCCUGAUGCAGCAACGCCGCGUGCGGGAUGACGGCCUUCGGGUUGUAAACCGCUUUCAGCAGGGGCGAAGCUUGUGGUGACGGUACCUGCAGAAGAAGCACCGGCUAACUACGUG